CCUACGGGGUGCUGCAGUGGGGAAUAUUGGACAAUGGGCGAAAGCCUGAUCCAGCCAUGCCGCGUGUGUGAAGAAGGCCUUCGGGUUGUAAAGCACUUUCAGUGGGGAAGAAAGCCUUGGGGCUAAUACCCUCGAGGAAGGACAUCACCCACAGAAGAAGCACCGGCUAACUCCGUGCCAGCAGCCGCGGUAAUACGGAGGGUGCGAGCGUUAAUCGGAAUUACUGGGCGUAAAGCGCGCGUAGGCGGUCUGAUAAGCCGGUUGUGAAAGCCCCGGGCUCAACCUGGGAACGGCAUCCGGAACUGUCAGGCUAGAGUGCAGGAGAGGAAGGUAGAAUUCCCGGUGUAGCGGUGAAAUGCGUAGAGAUCGGGAGGAAUACCAGUGGCGAAGGCGGCCUUCUGGACUGACACUGACGCUGAGGUGCGAAAGCGUGGGUAGCAAACAGGAUUAGGUACCCCUGUAGUC
rnacentral:rRNA from 1 species